rnacentral:rRNA from 1 species
AGUGAACGCUGGCGGUAGGCCUAACACAUGCCAGUCGAACGGCCGCUCACUAAGAGCUUCCUCUUACGGGUGGCGAGUGGCGGACGGGUGAGGAAUACAUCGGAAUUUACUUUUUCGUACUGGAUAUCGUAGGGAAACUUCCGCUAUUACCGCAUACGACCUACGGGUGAAAGCAGGGGAUCUUCGGACCUUGCGCGGUUGAAUGAGCCGAUGUCGGAUGAGCUAGUUGGCGGGGUACAGGCCCACCAAGGCGCCGCACCGUAGCUGGACUGAGAGGGAGAUCAGCCACACUGGAAGUGAGACACGGUACAGACUCCGACAGGAGGACGCAGUGGGGAAUAUUGGACAAUGGGCGCAAGCCUGAUCCAGCCAUACCGCGUGGGGGAAGAAGGCCUUCUGGUUGGAGAGCCCUUUUGUUGGGAGAGAAAAGCAGCAGGUUAAUACCCCGCUGUUCUGACGGUACCCAAAGAAUAAGCACCGGCUAACUUCGUG